rnacentral:rRNA from 1 species
UACGUAGGCAGCGAGCGUUGUUCGGAGUACUGGGCGUAAAGCGUGCGUAGGCGGUGUCUUAAGUUGUUGUGAAAUCUCCCGGCUUAACCGGGAGGUGCGGCGAAUACUGAGAUGCUGGAGUGCCGGAGAGGUAAGCGGAAUUCCUGGUGUAGCGGUGAAAUGCGUAGAUAUCAGGAGGAACACCUGCGGUGUAGACGGCUUCUGGGACGGUAACUGGACGCUGAAGGCACGAAAGCGUGGGUAGCAAACAGG